rnacentral:rRNA from 1 species
AGCGGGAUUGAAGCUUGCUUCAAUUGCCGGCGACCGGCGCACGGGUGAGUAACGCGUAUGCAACCUACCUUUAACAGGGGGAUAACACUGAGAAAUUGGUACUAAUACCCCAUAAUAUCAUAGAAGGCAUCUUUUAUGGUUGAAAAUUCCGAUGGUUAGAGAUGGGCAUGCGUUGUAUUAGCUAGUUGGUGGGGUAACGGCUCACCAAGGCGACGAUCGGUAGCCGGACUGAGAGGUUGAACGGCCACAUUGGGACUGAGAGACGGCCCAGACUCC